AGUAACACGUGGGUAACCUGCCCAUAAGACUGGGAUAACUCCGGGAAACCGGGGCUAAUACCGGAUAACAUUUUGAAACUGCAUGGUUCGAAAUUGAAAGGCGGCUUCGGCUGUCACUUAUGGAUGGACCCGCGUCGCAUUAGCUAGUUGGUGAGGUAACGGCUCACCAAGGCAACGAUGCGUAGCCGACCUGAGAGGGUGAUCGGCCACACUGGGACUGAGACACGGCCCAGACUCCUACGGGAGGCAGCAGUAGGGAAUCUUCCGCAAUGGACGAAAGUCUGACGGAGCAACGCCGCGUCGAGUGAUGAAGGCUUUCGGGUCGCUAAGAACUCUGUUGUUAGGGAAGAACAAGUGCUAGUUGAAUAAGCUGGCACCUUGACGGUACCUAACCAGAAAGCCACGGCUAACUACGUGCCAGCAGCCGCGGUAAUACGUAGGUGGCAAGCGUUAUUCCCGGAAUUACUUGGGCGUAAAGCGCGCGCAGGUGGUUUCUUAAGUCUGAUGUGAAAGCCCACGGCAUCAACCCGUGGAGGAAGUCAUUGGAAACUGGGAGACUUGAGUGCAGAAGAGGAAAGUGGAAUUCCACUCGCCUUGUAGACGGUGAAAUGCGUAGAGAUAUGGAGGAACAACCUUCAGUGGCGAAGGCGACUUUCCUGGUCUUGUAACUGACACUGAGGCGCGAAAGCGUGGGGAGCAAACAGGAUUUAGAUACCCCUG
rnacentral:rRNA from 1 species